GAUGAACGCUGACAGAAUGCUUAACACAUGCAAGUCCACUUGAACUUCGGUUUGGGUGGCGGACGGGUGAGUAACGCGUAAAGAACUUGCCUCACAGAUAGGGACAACAUUUGGAAACGAAUGCUAAUACCUGAUAUUAUGAUUAUAUGGCAUCGUAUAAUUAUGAAAGCUAUAUGCGCUGUGAGAGAGCUUUGCGUCCCAUUAGCUAGUUGGAGAGGUAACGGCUCACCAAGGCGAUGAUGGGUAGCCGGCCUGAGAGGGUGAGCGGCCACAAGGGGACUGAGACACGGCCCUUACUCCUACGGGAGGCAGCAGUGGGGAAUAUUGGACAAUGGACCAAGAGUCUGAUCCAGCAAUUCUGUGUGCACGAUGAAGUUUUUCGGAAUGUAAAGUGCCUUCAGUUGGGAAGAAAAAAAUGACGGUACCAACAGAAGAAGUGACGGCUAAAUACGUG
rnacentral:rRNA from 1 species